rnacentral:rRNA from 1 species
GGUACAACCCUCCGAAAGGUGGGCUGAUACCGCGUACAUCCCCUGGGGGCAUCCCCGGGGGAGGAAAGCCCUUUUGGGCGGGCGGGGAUGGGCAUGCGGCGCAUUAGGAAGACGGCGGUGUGACGGACCACCGUUCCGACGAUGCGUAGGGGUUCUGAGAGGAAGGCCCCCCACACUGGUACUGAGACACGGACCAGACUCCUACGGGAGGCAGCAGUGAGGAAUAUUGGUCAAUGGCCGGAAGGCUGAACCAGCCAAGCCGCGUGAGGGAGGAAGGCGCAGAGCGUCGCAGACCUCUUUUGCCGGGGGACAAAAGGCCGGACUCGUCCGGUCCUGAGGGUACCCGGAGAAAAAGCAUCGGCUAACUCCGUGCCAGCAGCCGCGGUAAUACGGAGGAUGCGAGCGUUAUCCGGAUUCAUUGGGUUUAAAGGGUGCGCAGGCGGGCCUUUAAGCCGGCGGUGAAAUCGCGGGGCUCAACCCCGCCGAGCCGUCGGAACUGGGGGCCUUGAGUGCGGCGGAGGCAUGCGGAAUUCGCGGUGUAGCGGUGAAAUGCAUAGAUAUCGCGCAGAACCCCGGUUGCGAAGGCAGCGUGCCGUGCCGCCACUGACGCUGAGGCUCGAAAGCGCGGGGAUCGAACAGGAUUAGAUACCCUGGUAGUCCGCGCCGUAAACGAUGGAUACUGGGUGUCCGGGGCGUUCAGGCCCUGGGUCCGGAG